GCGGAAGCCCGGCGCCCUUUCGUCCGUGUUCCUGCCGCUUUGAUAAUGGCGGCUCGUGGCUUGGGGCUGUUGACCAGUUUGCCCCUCCGUGCUCAGAGAAGUCAAGUCCAGCGUCCUCUCCGCAGGCUUCUCAGUUGCCCAGGAACGGUGGUCGCAGCCCUCGGGAAGGAAGAGCAGUCCUCGGGGAGCGCGGAGACAGGCUCUGAAGACAGGACUCCAAAAAAGAGAUUCUCUGAGGUGCAGAAAGAGAGACGAGAACAGGCCCAGCGGACUGUGUUAAUCCACUGCCCAAAUAAAAUCAGCGAGAAGAAGUUUCUCAAGUACUUAUCCCAGCAUGGACCUGUUAACAGCCACUUCUUCUAUGAAAGCUUUGGUCUUUAUGCUGUUGUAGAAUUUAGUCAGAAGGAAAGCGUAGCUUCACUGCAGAAUGUAACUCGUACUCCAAGCCUGGGCACAGAGGCUGCAAUUCCAUUCAGAUCACGUUACUUCAAUUUAAAGUUGAAGACUCCAUUAAACCAGACUUCUGAACAGUCAGGUAUUCAAUGCAGGAAUCAGUCUUCUCCUUCAAGCAAGAAGCUUUUUGAAUUACUUUGUUGUGCAGAAAGUGUAGAUGAUCAGCUGAACACUCUCUUGAGGGAAUUCCAGCUAACAGAGGAGAACAGCAAGCUCCGGUAUCUCACCUGCUCUCUUAUUGAAGAUGUAGCAGCUGCGUAUUUUCCGGGCUGCACCGUCAGACCCUUUGGCUCUUCAGUGAACAGCUUUGGAAAAUUAGGAUGUGAUUUGGACAUGUUUUUGGAUCUAGAUGAAAUUGAAAACUUUAGUACUCACAAGGCCUCAGGAAAUUUUCUGAUGGAAUUUCAAGUGAAAAAUGUUCCUUCGGAAAGAAUUGCAACACAGAAGAUCCUGUCUGUGAUAGGAGAAUGCCUUGACCACUUUGGCCCGGGCUGUGUGGGAGUACAGAAAAUACUAAAUGCUCGGUGUCCCCUUGUCCGGUUCUCACACCAGGCCUCUGGAUUUCAGUGUGACUUGACUACUAACAAUAGGAUUGCCUUGAAGAGUUCUGAACUCCUUUAUAUAUAUGGUGCCCUGGACUCCCGAGUGAGAGCCUUGGUGUUCAGUAUCCGAUGCUGGGCUCGAGCACAUUCAUUAACGAGUAGUAUUCCUGGUGCUUGGAUUACAAAUUUCUCCCUUACCGUGAUGGUCAUCUUUUUUCUCCAGAGGAGAUCACCCCCUAUUCUUCCAACACUAGACUACCUAAAAACCCUUGCAGAUGCAGAAGAUAAGUGUAUAAUAGAAGGCCACAACUGUACAUUUGUUCGCGACUUCAGUAGAAUUAAACCUUCAGGAAACGCAGAAACACUAGAAUUACUACUGAAAGAAUUUUUUGAAUAUUUUGGAAAUUUCGCAUUCAAUAAAAAUUCCAUUAAUAUUCGACAGGGAAGGGAACAAAACAAACCUGAAUCUUCUCCACUGCACAUUCAGAAUCCUUUUGAAACUUCUCUCAACAUUAGCAAAAAUGUAAGUCAAAGUCAGCUGCAAAAAUUUAUAGAUCUGGCCAGAGAAAGUGCCUGGAUUUUACAUCAGGAAGAUAGAGAUCGCCUUUCGCCAUCUAAUAAUCAGCCCUGGGGGCUGGCAGCCCUGCUGCUACCUUCUGUAGCAAAUAGUACGUCUCUUGCCAAGAAGAAAAAGAAGCCUGCAAGUGAAAGAAUUAAAAACUUGUUGGAAUCCAUAAAAAGUAGCAGUACAGAAAAUUCCACAGCCACCAACGGGUAAAGAGCAGUUAGUACUCAGGCAUAAUGGCUGCUCCUUUGCUUUCAGAACUGGUUUUAUCCUAUAAGAUGAUCUCUGGACUACCUGGAAGAAUGGUGUGAAAUUCUGGCAGAUCACACUUUGCUCGGAUGUCUCUCUUUUCAUGAUCUUCUCAUUGGGCCCCUUAAACUGGUCUGACAUUCUGCGAUGUUUUCAGUCUGAAAGCCAGUGGCACUGUAUUAAAACGCUAGCCAUGGGAACAGGUGAAAGAAGAUUGGAAUGUACUUCAGAUAAAAUAUACAAAGCAAGUGGGAAGAAUCAGUUUUACAGUCAAACCAUUGUUGAAAUCUGCAUCAGUCUCUGGGUGUAAAUCAUUUAGAAGGACUUCUAGAUAUUUGAUUGGACAUUUUCAGUUUUUGGUUGGUGUUAAGUCUAAAAUGGUCAUGUAAGCACAUAAACCCCUUCAGGAGCCGUCGUGGGAGGGGAACACGCAAAACGAUGCCGCGAGGAAGAAACCGUUUCUACCGGAUAUGCUCAGGAGAGGCUGAUGUUCGUCGAGUAGAAUGGGGUCCAGAAGCCGACUCUCAUAUACCUCACAAGAGUAUUUAACAAGGAGGCAAAGUUUAAGUGGCUUAAAGCCAUCAUCAGGAAAUAUCAUCAGGUCAUGCUCUAAGGAAUGGUGGCGCCAGAAGAUGGAAGAAGUCCACAUCCCUGAAUCAUCUGGAAAGCUGCCUACCAAACUCACUGGACAGUUACAUGAAUGAGAAGUUACAGAAGUUCAAGUGGGAUUGUGACUGAGCUAGAAGAGGAGUUCACGAAAAUCUGAGAUAAGGAGAGGACAGGUGGGACCCAACUU